AUUAAAUUUUAGCCAGAGAAAUUUUAUUAACUGUAUAAUUAACAACGGGCUAGAGGAAAUCGAAGCCCAGGCUUCUUGUCCAAAGCCUAACAUAUGCCAGAAGUUUCCCUUUCCUUGAAAAAGCUGUUGUUCACAUCACAUCCUGUUCUGCUAAAGCGUGGAAGAGGACAUCCCUUCAUCAUAUGUGCAAGCAAAGCCGAAAGCCGAAAGCAUGACCCACUCCAGUUUUGGGCUUCUGCCAUUUGUCGCACCCUAGACCAAAACUUUUUGCGAAUAAAGAGCAGAGAAACAACUUGAAAUUGACACCUCCCCCAUUAUCCCAAAUUCUUUCUUCUUUUGCUAUUUAGUCAUAUAAAGAAAGAUUUAACGCAAAGCAAACUCUUCCAGGUAUAGAAAAAAUCCAUCUCAUUUCUAUUUUGUUGAACUGUUUGGGAUUUGCUUAUUGAUCUAGUUUUGCUAAGAUCUUGGCCAUGGAAGAUAUUAAAAUAAAAGAAUAGGGCAAAAGACAAUACAAUUUUCUCUUUCUGGUUUAGCCAAAGCAGAGCAGAGAGCAGCCACAGAGAAACUUGAAAGAAAAAAAAAAGAACAUUUCAUUAGAAAUCUAAUCUCAUUGAAAGCAAAAAUUUCACAAACAGUUGAAAUUACUUGCAGAAAAAACAUAUAUUAUAGCAUAUAACUAAAACCUCACAUUCUUCUUCUUCACCAAUUUUCAUUCAUUACAGUAUCAUUUUAGCUCACCUUAAAACCAAAUAAAAACCCCACAAAGCCAUAACCCUAUACUUGUCCUGCAAACCUCAAAUGGCAUCACGAUAAGCCUCAAGAGCUUCACCAGUCAACCUGCAAAUCCUCCAAUCUGUCAAAACCUUCGCACCCAUCUCUUCAUAAAACUUAAUAGCAUUUACAUUCCAAUCCAGCACCGUCCACUCCACUCUCCCAUAUCCCAUUUUCACCGCCUGAGCAGCCACCGCCGAUAGCAGCAUCUUCCCCAUUCCUUUCCUUCUGUAACACUCCCUCACGAACAGAUCCUCCACGUACAAGCCUGGCUUCGCUAGGAACGUCGAAUAGUUAGGGAAGAAGAGGACGAACCCAGCUACCACUACGUCAUUAGUUCCACUCUUGAAUAAUUCGGCUUCUGGGUCGAUGACAGGAAGGUCGAGCUGGAUGAUACGCUCAAUGGGUGUGAACUUUGGGGAGGCGAUUUUGGGAAGAGGGUUGGGGGAAACCUCCAGGAGGAAGACGGUAAAUGAUUGGAAAGGCGGGUUGUUGAAGAGGGUGGCGGAGAGGGAGGAUUCGGUGGCGAUGCAGUGAUGAGCGAGGCGCUCGAAGACAGCCAUUUGGUGGAUCAUUUUGUGAAUGCAAGGGACAUCGGCGGGGGUUGCGAGGCGGAUCCUGGAGAAGAGAGGGUGGCCAACUGGGACGGAGUCAGAGUCAGGGAGGCCGGUGGGAGCCUCCGGUGCAGGGGUUGGGGGAGGCGGUGGAGCAGCGGCUGCCAUUUUUAUGCGGAAUGCGGAGAAUGGUAAGUUU
rnacentral:misc_RNA from 1 species